GCCUUUUAGCACAUCUUUGUAAUUUAGCUGUAAUUUUCUUGAAAUUCUAAAAGCUAUACUGCCUGUUAAUCUCUAAUUCUUUUCCUUCUUAUUCAGGGGCAUACAACUUGAAAAGGAGAUAUUUCCUGCAGGGACUGAUAGUCGAUUUUUAAGAGAACUUAAUAUCCCAGCCCUCGGAUUUUCCCCCAUGAACAAAACACCAAUUCUUCUCCACGAUCACAACGAAUAUCUGAACGAGAACAUCUUCUUGCGGGGAAUAGAGAUUUACAUGACUAUUCUGCCUGCUGUUGCAAAUGUGAAAUUCUGAAGUUGGGGAAAUUUGAAUUUCUUGAAGGGAUGCCAUUACAGCACAAGACCAGCUAAAAUGGAAUUCUUUGGCAUUAGUCUGGUCACCAUGGAGCUCUGGAUAGCUCAAUCCUUGAGGACGAGACAGUGACUACACCAUCAAAAAAAAGUUUAUUGGAAUGUGUUGCAGGAUGAGUCAAACUGGAUUUUAGCGAAAAUUCAAAGAAAUUUUCUGUUAUGUAGGGUUACAGUACAGACACCACCCUACUUAAGAACAUUUAGCUUACAAACUAAAUAGUGUUCAGAGCACUCUUCUUUGUCACCCACAAGUCAAAUUUUGUUCUGUGCGCCUAUUCUGUACAUACAGUGUUGUUUGUACAGUGUAUUGUGUUUUAGGGGGAAAAAAGUGUGCAGUACUACAUUGUUUUAUAUCAUACUGUACUUAAAUAGACAUGAAGAAUAGUACAGUAACCAAUUUACAAACAAUUCAGCAUACAAACGGCCAUCUUGAACUUAACUUGUUUGUAAGUAGGAUGGUGUCUAUAUUAAAAUUUUCAUAUGUUUUGCAAAAUCCAUCACCAUUUACUAAAUUCUGAAAUUGAAAGCGAGUCGAAAAUAACAGCUACAAGAUAUUUUUUCCAAGUUUAGUUACCAAGAAUGAGGGUCAAGAUAUUUUGGAGUGGAUCAGUUUGGUAGCAAAAACUAGUGUUAAUGCUAAAAUGUCCUGCUCAUUUGGUUUCUAGGACACCACUAAUAGAGUUAAGUAAUAUUGUGUGAUAACCAGCAUUUUAGUUGUCAGAAGGUUUGAAGGGCAGUUAUUCUAAAUACCGUAUAUACUUGCGUAUCAUACGACUUUUGAAGACCUAACAUUGGAGUUAAUUUUAAGGGGGUCGCAUCAUACCCGAGAUAUAAAAUUAGAGUAUGUAAUAAUCACAUAUUAGUAUUGUAUGAUAAAAUACAAACCAAAUGAAUAUGCACCUUUUCCAUGGAUCUUUUAAUUAGUUAUACUUUACUUCACUGCAUCCAAUAAUAAUAUAUGUAUUUUCAUAUUACUAUUUAUUUGCAUUAUAAAAUACAAACAUAGCAAUCAAUGUUUUGGUUUGAAAAUCAGCUGAGGGCGAUUGUGAGGUAAGUUUGUUUUGCUGUAUUGAACUCAAAUCAGAGUGACUUUCUUACUUAUAGUAUGGGGCAAGGUUAUUUUACGUUAUACAAAGUUUUCAGGUUGAAAUAUCCCUUAAAUAUGCAUCCGCUUGUGAACAAAAUUUAGUUAUUUUUCUCAUUAGUAGAUGGCGCUGAGGGCAAAUUUACUGUGUAAACAAAAAUCAAGAUUCUGUUUGAUAUUUUUCACUUGAUCUCAUCAGAAUACUAAGAGCUUUACAUAUUUAUCUUUUAUUGGAGUGAAAACAGUGAAAUGUGUUCUUUCAUGCCCAAUAGUUUUGAUUAAAACACAUCUCUCUAAUUUUAUGUACAGUUGAGUUUGAUGGUACUAUACCGAAGUUUGCGAGUUUCAUCCACGAUGCUGAUGCAUGAUAUUAAUUGUUAGCAGAUCAACAUUCUUUCCUCAUCUACAGCUAAAACUUACAGGUUAAAUUUAGCAGUAUAUGCCCUUGCUGAUCUUUUCUCCAUAGCGAGUAAUGAUAUUGUAAUGUAAGAAAAUAUCAGUCCGAUUCUCCUUAAUGUUCAUUUGUAACAUAAUUACGGUAUUUUUUUACUAAUGUACGAUGGUUGAAAUCCAAGCAAAAACGCUGUUAUCAUCAUAUUAGGUUGUUCAUAGCAAAUCAUCUGUUUCUGGCUGUAUGCGUUUAAACAAGUAUAACAUUACUAACAAUACUUUUGGGCAUUUCUUUGACUUUUUUAAACUUAAAUAGAAGAUGGGAUAGAUAAAGAAAUGGAGGAAAAAGGGUUAGCCUAACUAAAAAAUGGAAUAGAUAAAGAGGAGGAAAAGAGGUUAGCCUGUUGUUAUUUGGUCUCGUAAAUUUAACUCUCAUGAUACGUGAGAUACAUGAUAAAAUCAUUUUUUAAGGGUGAAAAUUUGGGGGUCGCAUGAUAUGAGAAAUUGCAUAUUACAUGAGUAUAUACGGUAACUUAAAAGAUCCUUAAUCAUGGAGAACUUUGAUUUUAAUUUAUUAGGAGUUUCAUGGAUUAAAUAUUGCAUUAUACCUUGAAAAACUUAUACCUUCUGUACAUUAUGUAAACACUUUGAGUACACUAUUAAAAUUCCAAAAUAAUAACAUGAAAUUUCAUAAAAGCAAAUACAAAGCAUAAUCUUAACUCAUUUCUUGUCAGAUUUUCCUUUACAGAACUAGACAUCGGUUGCAUUCUGCAUUUGUUGUAAUGCUGUGUCUUCAUCUUGUGUUGGAAAAAGCUUCAACUGAUUUUGAGAGUCCUACAAAUUUUACUUGAAAAAUUGAAAUGUCAUUGACUUUUAAUAAAAAUAUUGUUAGAUAAUGUAUUACCUACUUAAGUAAUAUACAUAGUAUAUACAUUUUAAUGUUCAUUUUCUUGUAAUAAAUGCUUAUGUCCAUUGUAAAGCAUUUUUAUCUAAACAGUCCAAUACAAAAUUAUAAAUAAAGUUUUACAAUUAGAA